ensembl:lncRNA
GUCCUGGAUGGCACUUCACUUGAAGGUAAAAAUUAUUCUGAUAAUACAUGCAUGAAAUAGCACUGAUAAUUUUUUUUUUCUGACCAUUUCAUGUCCUGAGCCAAGAGACCCUGGGCUUGGUUCAAAUACUCUGUUGAAGUUCAGCUGCCAGUAUUAUCAGCUUUCUGAGCAUAGAUAUGAUGGACAUGUGUAUAGAUUCUGUGGACAUCCUCGGGAAAAAACUCCAGCCAUGAUUGGACCAGCUGCUUUUUUAAUGACAAGGAGGGAAGACUUAACAAGGGAAGAAAUGAAUCCUGCAAGGUCAUAUAGGAAAGCAGUGAAAAAAAUACUUUUAGAAUGGAGAAAUUAAUACAGUGUCCUGGGCUCAAAACCCACAAAAAUCAAGCUGUACAAUUAUUAUCAUUAAAACUGUAGUAAACAGUAAAAUUAACACAGGUCUAGUAUAGAAUGCCAAGACAUAAUGGUGCUG